rnacentral:rRNA from 1 species
AACGUAGGACACAAGCGUUAUCCGGAGUUACUGGGCGUAAAGGGCGUGUAGGCGGACGUGUAAGUCUAUUCUGAAAGCUCCUGGCUAAACUGGGAGAGGCGAAUGGAGACUGCAUAUCUAGAGUCCGGAAGAGGAGAGUGGAAUUCCUGGCGUAGCGGUGAAAUGCGCAGAUAUCAGGAAGAACACCCGUGGCUAAGGCGGCUCUCUAGUACGGUACUGACGCUGAGACGCGAAAGCGUGGGGAGCGAACGGG